rnacentral:rRNA from 1 species
GAUGAACGCUAGCGGGAGGCUUAACACAUGCAAGUCGAGGGGCAGCAUAGGGUAGCAAUACUCUGAUGGCGACCGGCAAACGGGUGAGUAACGCGUAUGCAACCUACCCUGUACAGGGGGAUAACCCGGAGAAAUUCGGACUAAUAUCCCGUAAUAAUAUCCGGAGGCAUCUUUGGAUAUUUAAAGUUCCGACGGUACGGGAUGGGCAUGCGUAACAUUAACUGGUUGGUAAGGUAACGGCUUACCAAGGCUAUGAUGUUUAGGGGUCCUGAGAGGGUGGUCCCCCACACUGGUACUGAGACACGGACCAGACUCCUACGGGAGGCAGCAGUGAGGAAUAUUGGUCAAUGGGCGCAAGCCUGAACCAGCCAUCCCGCGUGCAGGAAGACGGCCCUAUGGGUUGUAAACUGCUUUUCCAGGGAGAGAAACUUACGCACGUGUUGCGUGACUGACGGUACCCUGGGAAUAAGCAUCGGCUAACUCCGUGCCAGCAGCCGCGGUAAAAUACUCGUA